CCCUAGUAACUGCGAGUGAAGCGGGAAAAGCUCAAAUUUAAAAUCUGGUGGUCUCUGGCCAUCCGAGUUGUAAUCUAGAGAAGUGUUACCCGCGUCGGACCGUGUAUAAGUCUCCUGGAAUGGGGCGUCAUAGAGGGUGAGAAUCCCGUCUUUGACACGGACUACCGAGGCUUUGUGGUAUGCUCUCAAAGAGUCGAGUUGUUUGGGAAUGCCAGCUCAAAAUGGGUGGUAAAUUCCAUCUAAAGCUAAAUAUUGGCGAGAGACCGAUAGCGAACAAGUACCGUGAGGGAAAGAUGAAAAGAACUUUGGAAAGAGAGUUAAACAGUACGUGAAAUUGCUGAAAGGGAAACGCUUGAAGUCAGUCGCGUUGGCCGGGAAUCAGCCUUGCUUUUGCUUGGUGUACUUUCUGGUUGACGGGCCAGCAUCAGUUUUGACCGGUGGAAAAAGUUCAGGGGAAUGUGGCAUCUUCGGGUGUGUUAUAGCCCUUGUUCGUAUACAUCGGUUGGGACUGAGGAACUCAGCACGCCGCAAGGCCGGGUCUUUGACCACGUUCGUGCUUAGGAUGCUGGCAUAAUGGCUUUAAUCGACCCGUCUUGAAACACGGACCAAGGAGUCUAACAUGCCUGCGAGUGUUUGGGUGGAAAACCCGAGCGCGUAAUGAAAGUGAAAGUUGAGAUCCCUGUCAUGGGGAGCAUCGACGCCCGGACCUGACGUUUUCUGACGGCCCUGCGGUAGAGCAUGUAUGUUGGGACCCGAAAGAUGGUGAACUAUGCCUGAAUAGGGUGAAGCCAGAGGAAACUCUGGUGGAGGCUCGUAGCGAUUCUGACGUGCAAAUCGAUCGUCAAAUUUGGGUAUAGGGGCGAAAGACUA
rnacentral:rRNA from 1 species